GGCUUAGAGUUUGAUCCUGGCUCAGGAUGAACGCUAGCGACAGGCUUAACACAUGCAAGUCGAGGGGCAGCACGGGAGUAGCAAUACAACUGGUGGCGACCGGCGCACGGGUGAGUAACGCGUAUGCAACCUACCUAUCAGAGGGGAAUAACCCGGCGAAAGUCGGACUAAUACCGCAUAAAACAGGGGCACCGCAUGGUGAUAUUUGUUAAAGAAAUUCGCUGAUAGAUGGGCAUGCGUUCCAUUAGGUAGUUGGUGAGGUAACGGCUCACCAAGCCGACGAUGGAUAGGGGAACUGAGAGGUUGGUCCCCCACACUGGUACUGAGACACGGACCAGACUCCUACGGGAGGCAGCAGUGAGGAAUAUUGGUCAAUGGGCGGGAGCCUGAACCAGCCAAGUCGCGUGAAGGAAGAAGGAUCUAUGGUUCGUAAACUUCUUUUGCAGGGGAAUAAAGUGCAGGACGUGUCCUGUUUUGUAUGUACCCUGAGAAUAAGGAUCGGCUAACUCCGUGCCAGCAGCCGCGGUAAUACGGAGGAUCCGAGCGUUAUCCGGAUUUAUUGGGUUUAAAGGGUGCGUAGGUGGUUUGAUAAGUCAGCGUGAAGUUUGCAGCUUAACUGUAAAUGCCGUUGAAACUGUCGGACUUGAGUGUAAAUGAGUAGCGGAAUGCGUGGUGUAGCGKGAAUGCAUAGAUWUCMCGCAGACUCCGAUUGCGAGCAGCUACUAGCUACAACUGACACUGAAGCMCGAAGCGUGGGGAUCA
rnacentral:rRNA from 1 species